rnacentral:rRNA from 1 species
GACGAACGCUGGCGGCGUGCUUAACACAUGCAAGUCGAACGAUGAAGCUGGAGCUUGCUCCGGUGGAUUAGUGGCGAACGGGUGAGUAACACGUGAGCAAUCUGCCCUUGACUCUGGGAUAACUGCGGGAAACUGUAGCUAAUACCGGAUACUUUCACUGGAAGGCAUCUUCUGGUGAAGAAAGAAUUUCGGUCAAGGAUGAGCUCGCGGCCGAUCAGCUUGUAGGUGAGGUAACGGCUCACCAAGGCGACGACGGGUAGCCGGCCUGAGAGGGUGACCGGCCACACUGGGACUGAGACACGGCCCAGACUCCUACGGGAGGCAGCAGUGGGGAAUAUUGCACAAUGGGCGCAAGCCUGAUGCAGCAACGCCGCGUGAGGGAUGAAGGCCUUCGGGUUGUAAACCUCUUUUAGCAGGGAAGAAGCGAAAGUGACGGUACCUGCAGAAAAAGCACCGGCUAACUACGUGCCAGCCGCCGCGGUAA